GGGCUAUUAGCUCAGCUGGUUAGAGCGUACCCCUGAUAAGGGUAAGGUCUCUGGUUCAAAUCCAGAAUGGCCCA
rnacentral:tRNA from 1 species